UACAGAGGGGGCAAGCGUUGUUCGGAAUUACUGGGCGUAAAGGGCGCGUAGGCGGCCUUCUAAGUCGAACGUGAAAUCCCCGGGCUCAACCCGGGAACUGCGUCCGAUACUGGAAGGCUUGAAUCCGGGAGAGGGAUGCGGAAUUCCAGGUGUAGCGGUGAAAUGCGUAGAUAUCUGGAGGAACACCGGUGGCGAAGGCGGCAUCCUGGACCGGCAUUGACGCUGAGGCGCGAAAGCCCAGGGGAGCAAAGCGGGAUUAAG
rnacentral:rRNA from 1 species